rnacentral:piRNA from 1 species
UGAUAUGACUGGAACCAGGAAUAGGGC